rnacentral:rRNA from 1 species
GAUGAACGCUGGCGGCGUGCCUAAUACAUGCCAGUCGAGCGAACAGACGAGGAGCUUGCUCCUCUGACGUUAGCGGCGGACGGGUGAGUAACACGUGGAUAACCUACCUAUAAGACAGGGAUAACUUCGGGAAACCGGAGCUAAUACCGGAUAAUAUAUUGAACCGCAUGGUUCAAUAGUGAAAGACGGUUUUGCUGUCACUUAUAGAUGGAUCCGCGCCGCAUUAGCUAGUUGGUAAGGUAACGGCUUACCAAGGCAACGAUGCGUAGCCGACCUGAGAGGGUGAUCGGCCACACUGGAACUGAGACACGGUCCAGACUCCUACGGGAGGCAGCAGUAGGGAAUCUUCCGCAAUGGGCGAAAGCCUGACGGAGCAACGCCGCGUGAGUGAUGAAGGUCUUCGGAUCGUAAAACUCUGUUAUUAGGGAAGAACAAAUGUGUAAGUAACUAUGCACGUCUUGACGGUACCUAAUCAGAAAGCCACGGCUAACUACGUG